AUUGAACGCUGGCGGAAUGCUUUACACAUGCAAGUCGAACGGUAGAGGGGGCAACCCCUUGAGAGUGGCGAACGGGUGAGUAAUAUAUCGGAACGUGCCCAGUCGUGGGGAUAACGUAGCGAAAGUUACGCUAAUACCGGCAUACGAUCUAAGGAUGAAAGCGGGGGAUCGCAAGACCUCGCGCGAUUGGAGCGGCCGAUAUCAGAUUAGGUAGUUGGUGAGGUAAAGGCUCACCAAGCCGACGAUCUGUAGCUGGUCUGAGAGGACGACCAGCCACACUGGGACUGAGACACGGCCCAGACUCCUACGGGAGGCAGCACGUGGGGAAUUUUGGACAAUGGGCGCAAGCCUGAUCCAGCAAUGCCGCGUG
rnacentral:rRNA from 1 species